CAGUAAAUUCUGCAGUGUAAAGUAUACAGUGACAAAAUCUGUGAACACUUCCAGAGUUCUUCCAACACCAACAAGAUAAAAUACAUCCACCAUUACAUCAAGUGUUGUUGUUAAUAUCUAGAGUUAGUCUCAUCAGUGUAAAAUACGCAGUGUCAGAGCAAACGAACACAGACAGUGUAGAAUAUUAACUCGGGACAGGUACACUGUACUCUGGAUGCUCCGCCCACCUCUGUCUCGUUUCAAAAAUCUUCAGACUGUUCUGGACGCCAUUUUCCUGCUAUGGAAGACUGUGGAGUUGAUGCCAGUUGUCAGUUUUAACAGAAGUCAUGUUGAUCAAAGCAAAACUGAACAAUGAGCAGAAAUACAUCAAGAUCAGUGAGCCAAACUUGGCCGAGUUCUUGAAUUCUGCCUUCAUGAAGUUUUCGAUGCCACCCAUCACAGACGGUGUUAAAGUCUUUGAUGAGACUGGAACAGAAGUGGAUGCAGAAGUGUUUGAGGAAGUACAGUAGC